UUCAAGUCAGUGAAACCUCGGUAAGAGAAAGUGCUAAGGGAUCACAAGCUGUUUAUUUCCCAGGUCCAUUUUCAUACUUUACACUAAAUGACGAGGACUCGAAGGAGCUGGGGGACUAGCUAUUUAUGGUUACACCACCAGAAGCAAUACCAGUGUCAUCAAAUGGAGGGAAGUUUUGGUGAGCCCGAGCACGGGUGGCUACCAGCAAUAAGUAGGCAUAUAAAGCAGGCGUUUGCUUUGUAUUUUGUAAGGAUCAGAUGACAGUUAUGAGAAAGCAUGACAAUCCGUAGGGUGAUAAAAACCUUUCAUAUGCAGCUGCAGAAUAUUUGUCUGCUGAAGGUUUUGAGCGCAUCACGAAUACAGUCGUUUUAUUCCUUUUUCAGUAUUCGUGGCCCCUUUGGGAAUUUAGCCUGUGUUAGUUCUUGCCUCUGCUCAGGAAGAUCCACAGGGAAUACAGCUACUGGGCUUAGAAUAAUAGAGUGAACACGAUAUCAACCCUUUUUAUUGAAUAUCAGAUAUCAAGUUGGUUUCAUCUACCGCUCAUCUGAUGUAAGGUGAUCUCCAAAUACACAUGCAAAAACAGAUGAGAUAUCAAGUUAUUAAUUUAACUGUGAAAUAAAAAGGGCAGAUAAUUUCUUCUUCAGUUCAGUCGUGUAUUGUUUUACUUUAAAAAAAGAUGUAAUGGAAGGAGACAUCACAUUAGUACCAGCUUCUGACUAUUAUGCCAGGAUAUCUGAAGGUGGUUUGUGGUGUUAAGUUCCACCAGUUCGCUGGUACCCGCUGGGGUUGGGUUCACUCAGCAUGUGGCUAUUUUACCACAAGUCUCAAAUCUUGAUGCAACCAAUUCAAUUUCGUUCAUAUAUCACCAGUACUGUAAGGUAACGAGGGAAAACCCCAACUGUCACAUGAUCCAAUCAGAUGAACGAUCAGAAAUCUGAAUAGCAACCUGUUUUUUAGCUAAUGUCCACAUAAAUGCCAGGAUUCAAGGUUUCCCUUAUUCAGCCAGCUCACCUUCUUAGUAUUGUCCAUCUUGCUCCUCACCUCUUUUUGAGGUAAAUAAUGCAUAAAUCUGAGCAUGCCCACCUUCUGACUGUCUGCAUUUCAGGAUCUCUUACAUUAGCUCAGAUUUUGAGUUCAAGCCACUGCUUCACGCACACAACACUGAGGCUCUGCCCUGUUUCAGGUUCAAUGGAUGGCCUUCCUCGGAUCUCUUAUGGUAAUAACUGCACACCUGGAAAACAUUACAAGACCCACUGUUUUCUGAGAUGCUUUGACCCAGCUGGCUAGCCACCACAGGUCACACUUUGUCAGUCACUCAGGUCAGGCCAACAUAUCAAAUUCAACAAGCCAUUGUUCAUGUGGUGCCUAACAUCUCCCACCCUGUGAUAGGUGGCAAUUUGUGUUCUUUACGUCACCUUUCAGUGCUUCCAACGUUGUGGGCGAUUGAUCAGUCACAUCAGGAAAGAAAGCAGUUUUUGUACUCUGACUUCAAGACUUUUAUGAAAUAAAGUAGUCACAAUCCACCCUAACAAGCAGAGGUCUCAGAUUCAGCUGAUAACAAAGCCAUCGUAUCCAUGAAAGUAAAUCCAGACAAACGGUCUUUGCAGGUAAGAUAAAUUGCAGGCAUGCAUGUGUCUCUGUAGUAACGCCGAGCUGCACACGGCCUCACCAUUGAACAUCAGUCCAGGUGGAAUAGCUGUUACCGUAUCAUCAUCUCAUCAUUAACAUACACAACACGACCGCGGCUCUUCUCAUUGACUGUAAUCACCUUAAUGCAGAAAGCUGAUGAAGUUGCCAAGGCGCAGAGUGCUCCGUCUCAGACCUUUUCUCUUUUUUUGUGUGUGUGUGUUUUUGUAAUGGCGCUGUCAUAACUGCUCUGCUCCGUCUGGGCCUAAGUGAAUCUGAGGCGCCAUCUUUUAAACGAGGCUAACAAAUGAACACGUUUUCCCCCCAUCAAACGGCUCCUGACAGUGAUGCAUGGGCUUCCAGAUGAGCUCUGAAAAACUGAUGGAUCUGCGACGGUACAAGCGCUUAGAUAAACUAAUGCAUGUAAUUACGUUUUCCAUUCCCACUCCAUUGCAAGGCAUCUUAUUACAAUAUCAUUAGUUGAAAUGUUCAGCAAAAAAAUGAUAUGGUUUGCAAAUUUCUUUUUUUUCCUGACUUCCUAUCACUCUCUUUUAUCUUUUUUUUUUGCCAUGUGGGGUAAUUACGGGAAGUUGAUUUCUUUGACUGGAAUAAAAGCGAAUUCAAUUUGUUUGCUUCUUGGAAAGACAUCAUCGGGCAUCUCACUGUAAGUGUUAGUAAUUGUUGGAAGUCUUAUUCACCGCUGCUGCGGAUAAGACGACCAUCAAGAUGGUUAGAGAUGCCCUGUGUGUGGGGUGAGCGAGCGACAUGAGACACGUGUGGAUACGAGUUCGUGUACGUGUCAGGCUCAUUCUUUCCGGUUUUUUAAUUGGAGGCAGAAUUUAUCAUGUCCCUUCUCAUGCA